CCAUCCUUUAAAGAAAGCGUAAUAGCUCACUGGUCUAGUGAUUUUGCGCGGAAAAUAUAACGGGGCUAAAGUAAGUACCGAAGCUGUAGACUUAGUUUACUAAGUGGUAGGAGAGCGUUCUAUUUGCGUCGAAGGUAUACCGGUAAGGAGUGCUGGAGCGAAUAGAAGUGAGCAUGCAGGCAUGAGUAGCGAUAAUUAAUGUGAGAAUCAUUAACGCCGUAAACCCAAGGUUUCCUACGCGAUGCUCGUCAUCGUAGGGUUAGUCGGGUCCUAAGUCGAGUCCGAAAGGGGUAGACGAUGGCAAAUUGGUUAAUAUUCCAAUACCAACAUUAGUGUGCGAUGGAAGGACGCUUAGGGCUAAGGGGGCUAGCGGAUGGAAGUGCUAGUCUAAGGUCGUAGGAGGUUGUACAGGCAAAUCCGUAUAACAAUACUCCGAGAACUGAAAGGCUUUUUGAAGUCUUCGGAUGGAUAGAAGAACCCCUGAUGCUGUCGAGCCAAGAAAAGUUUCUAAGUUUAGCUAAUGUUGCCCGUACCGUAAACCGACACAGGUGGGUGGGAUGAGUAUUCUAAGGCGCGUGGAAGAACUCUCUUUAAGGAACUCUGCAAAAUAGCACCGUAUCUUCGGUAUAAGGUGUGGUUAGCUUUGUAUUAGGAUUUACUCCGAAAGCAAGGAAACUUACAACAAAGAGUCCCUCCCGACUGUUUACCAAAAACACAGCACUCUGCUAACUCGUAAGAGGAUGUAUAGGGUGUGACGCCUGCCCGGUGCUCGAAGGUUAAUUGAUGGGGUUAGCAUUAGCGAAGCUCUUGAUCGAAGCCCGAGUAAACGGCGGCCGUAACUAUAACGGUCCUAAGGUAGCGAAAUUCCUUGUCGGUUAAAUACCGACCUGCAUGAAUGGCGUAACGAGAUGGGAGCUGUCUCAAAGAGGGAUCCAGUGAAAUUGUAGUGGAGGUGAAAAUUCCUCCUACCCGCGGCAAGACGGAAAGACCCCGUGGACCUUUACUACAGCUUGACACUGCUACUUGGAUAAGAAUGUGCAGGAUAGGUGGGAGGCUUUGAGUAUAUGACGCCAGUUGUAUAUGAGCCAUUGUUGAGAUACCACUCUUUCUUAUUUGGGUAGCUAACCAGCUUGAGUUAUCCUCAAGUGGGACAAUGUCUGGUGGGUAGUUUGACUGGGGCGGUCGCCUCCCAAAUAAUAACGGAGGCUUACAAAGGUUGGCUCAGAACGGUUGGAAAUCGUUCGUAGAGUAUAAAGGUAUAAGCCAGCUUAACUGCAAGACAUACAAGUCAAGCAGAGACGAAAGUCGGUCUUAGUGAUCCGGUGGUUCUGUGUGGAAGGGCCAUCGCUCAAAGGAUAAAAGGUACCCCGGGGAUAACAGGCUGAUCUCCCCCAAGAGCUCACAUCGACGGGGAGGUUUGGCACCUCGAUGUCGGCUCAUCGCAUCCUGGGGCUGGAGCAGGUCCCAAGGGUAUGGCUGUUCGCCAUUUAAAGCGGUACGCGAGCUGGGUUCAGAACGUCGUGAGACAGUUCGGUCCCUAUCUGCCGUGGGCGUAAGAAGAUUGAAGAGAUUUGACCCUAGUACGAGAGGACCGGGUUGAACAAACCACUGGUGUAGCUGUUGUUCUGCCAAGAGCAUCGCAGCGUAGCUAAGUUUGGAAAGGAUAAACGCUGAAAGCAUCUAAGCGUGAAGCCAACUCUAAGAUGAAUCUUCUCUAAGCUCUCUAGAAGACUACUAGUUUGAUAGGCUGGGUGUGUAAUGGAUGAAAGUCCUUUAGCUGACCAGUACUAAUAGAGCGUUUGGCUUAUCUUUAAUAAAGCAU
rnacentral:rRNA from 1 species